rnacentral:rRNA from 1 species
UGGGGAAUAUUGCACAAUGGGCGCAAGCCUGAUGCAGCCAUGCCGCGUGUGUGAAGAAGGCCUUCGGGUUGCAAAGCACUUUCAGCGGGGAGGAAGGCGAUAAGGUUAAUAACCUUGUCGAUUGACGUUACCCGCAGAAGAAGCACCGGCUAACUCCGCGCCAGCAGCCGCGGUAAUACGGAGGGUGCAAGCGUUAAUCGGAAUUACUGGGCGUAAAGCGCACGCAGGCGGUCUGUCAAGUCGGAUGUGAAAUCCCCGGGCUUAACCUGGGAACUGCAUUCGAAACUGGCAGGCUAGAGUCUUGUAGAGGGGGGUAGAAUUCCAGGUGUAGCGGUGAAAUGCGUAGAGAUCUGGAGGAAUACCGGUGGCGAAGGCGGCCCCCUGGACAAAGACUGACGCUCAGGUGCGAAAGCGUGGGGAGCAAACAGG